rnacentral:rRNA from 1 species
UACGUAGGGUGCGAGCGUUGUCCGGAAUUAUUGGGCGUAAAGGGCUCGUAGGCGGUUUGUCUCGUCGGGAGUGAAAACUCAGGGCUUAACCCUGAGCCUGCUUCCGAUACGGGCAGACUAGAGGUAUGCAGGGGAGAACGGAAUUCCUGGCGUAGCGGUGAAAUGCGCAGAUAUCGGGAAGAACACCCGUGGCGAAGGCGGCUCGCUGGGACGGUACUGACGCUGAGACGCGAAAGCGUGGGGAGCGAACAGG